CCAAAUUUUUGAACAACUUUGAAAUUUUUACUCAUACUCACACGCUCAAUCUCUCUCUCAAUACCCCUGCUCGACUCUCUCUUGAAAUACCCUCUCUCGCUAAUCUAGGGCUAAUCUCUCUCAUCUCUCUGGCCACUAUUUUCUCAGUCAUGCUACCACUUUCAAUCAUUAUGGAUUUAUAUUUCUAAUCGGGGACAAUUGAAUUAAGGGUCGAGGCUUCGAUUUUUCAAUUAGGGCGUGGCUACUUCAAUCAUGCUUUGAUUCUUCAUUAAACUUCAAUUAAAGUUCAAGUACUUACAUAUAAUCCCUUAAAUUUCAUCUAAUCUCUCUAUCUCUCUUUGAUGUCAGGUGUUCUUCGUUUGGGUUUGCACUUCAAGACUUGUUUUAAGGCUUUGCUGUUAGUAAGAGACAUACAUAUAUGUUCUCUGCGGGUGAUGACAAACAAGUUAAAUGCUGGGAUCUUCAAUAAAAUAAGGUUAUCAGGUCUUACCAUGAUCACCUAAGUGGAGUUUAUUGCUUGGCUAUGCAUCCCAAUAUUGACAUUCUACUUACAGGGGUCUCAGGGAAGCUUCAGUUUCUGUUGCUAUAAAGCCAAGGUCAUGGUUUGGUAUAUAAGGGAACUGCCUUGCCCAAGUUGUAGGGGAAGAGGUUACAGUCUUAUGUACAGAAUGCGGAAUAGAAAGAUCUAGAAAAGAUUUUGUCUGGUGUGAUGGCAAGCCUAUUUCUGUUAGAGAAUCGGUGUUACAAGAAAGCGUUACAAGGGAUGGUUCUAUAUUUCUGUUAGGUCAUACUUGCGAGUAGUGCAAGGGAGAUCGUGUAAUGGAAGAGUCAAUCGAUGAACGACCAUGGGAAAAGGCACGAUCAAUGUAUAAAUAUGAGUUAGAAGGAUGGUAUAAAUCCGUAUGUUUGUUGGAUGUAAUUGUUGGUUGAAAGGUGAAUAUUAGUUGGUAAAUAUAAUUAGUUGGUGGAUAUUUAGUUGGUGGAUAUAUGUUUGUGGAUAUUGGUGAUUGAUAUUUGGUUUGUACUUGGUUGGUUGUUAUGUUGGUAAUGAAAACUUUUGUUUACCAA